GUUAGAUUGGCAGAAUAGUGCAUUUGAUUUAGGAUCAGAAUAAGAAUACUUAGUGUUCAUUUAACU
rnacentral:tRNA from 2 species